rfam:Trichobilharzia regenti genome assembly, scaffold: TRE_scaffold0013503
CUACCGAUGAAGAGUCCCAAACUGGUGGGGACGAAACAGCUGUCGAGUAC